GUCUUGAAUUGACUAAGAACUGUUUGAUCUUUGCAGGAAUGCAGGCUGUGUGUGCUCUAGCCUCCAUUUCACAGAAGAGAUAACCAGAGGCCAGGCAAGUAAAUUACUCCUCAAAGUCCACCCAGAGAUCUGCCCCCGAACCAGGAGUUUUACGUACUUCCUGUCACUUGGUUCUGUGUGAGCAUCUCUUCUCCCCUUCCUGCCACCUCCCCACGUGUAGACGUGGGUGUGUUUGCACAAGUGUCUGGGUAUGCAUGUGGAGGCCAGAGGUCAACACUGGGAUUCUUCCUUUAUCAUCCGCCUCCCCAUUCAUUUUUUGAAAUAGGUUCUCUCACUGAACAUGGAGUUUGCUGACUCAUCCAGACUUCCUGGCCAGCAAGCCUCAGGGAUCCCUCUCCCUUGAGCUGGGAUUGCAGGGACAUCUACGUGUAACACUCCAUCCGAAGAAUGUGUGUGAGAUGUACGUGUGCUGCCUUCAGGCUAUGAAGCGCUGUCCAUCAUCUCUGCCUUUGCUCAGCUCCAGGCUGGAGGCUGACAGUGAGUGAAGACUCUGGAACUCAUGGAUAGUGGAGCAGCAGCUGUGUGCGGCUCAGAUUCCUGAGAAACUGCAAGAACAAUGCUGACUCUCUCCUGUCCCAACACAGAGCCAUGAUGCAGCUCUGAUAGGAACAUGAACUAAACCUUUAUUACAUAUUAAGCUAUUACAUAAAUGCGAGCUACAUCUUUAUUGUACAUUAAACUAUGCUGUGAAAAGGAACUAAGCCUUUAUUGUGUACUAAACUAUGAUGUGAAUAUGAAAUAAACCUUUACUGUGUUAUGCCGGUGA